rnacentral:rRNA from 1 species
UACGAAGGGUGCAAGCGUUACUCGGAAUUACUGGGCGUAAAGCGUGCGUAGGUGGUUUGUUAAGUCUGUUGUGAAAGCCCCGGGCUCAACCUGGGAAUGGCAAUGGAUACUGGCAGGCUAGAGUGCGGUAGAGGGUAGUGGAAUUCCCGGUGUAGCGGUGAAAUGCGUAGAGAUCGGGAGGAACACCAGUGGCGAAGGCGGCUACCUGGACCAGCACCGACGUUCAGGCACGAAAGCGUGGGGAGCAAACAGG